GACGAACGCUGGCGGCGUGCCUAAUACAUGCAAGUAGAACGCUGAAGGAGGAGCUUGCUUCUCUGGAUGAGUUGCGAACGGGUGAGUAACGCGUAGGUAACCUGCCUGGUAGCGGGGGAUAACUAUUGGAAACGAUAGCUAAUACCGCAUAAUAGUAGAUGUUGCAUGACAUUUGCUUGAAAGGUGCAAUUGCAUCACUACCAGAUGGACCUGCGUUGUAUUAGCUAGUUGGUGGGGUAACGGCUCACCAAGGCGACGAUACAUAGCCGACCUGAGAGGGUGAUCGGCCACACUGGGACUGAGACACGGCCCAGACUCCUACGGGAGUCAGCAGUAGGGAUUCUUCGGCAAUGGACUGAAGUCUGACCGAGCAACGCCGCGUGAGUGUGGAAGGUUUUCGGAUCGUUUAGCUCUAUUGUAUGAGAAGAACGAUUGUGAAGGUGGAAUUGUACACUGGUACGGUUUUUUACGGAAAGGUCGGCUAACUUUGUUCCGUUGCCGCGUGUUGACCUGGGUCCCGACUUUGGUCGGAUUAUUGAGCGUGAAGGGAUGGGAGGGGUGUUUUUUUGGAUGUUAAGGUGUGGCUGCCAUGUGAUGUUUGGAACUGGUGUUGUGAUGCGUGAUGUGGAAGUGGUGUGCCUUGUUUGUGUUUGAUUGUGGGUUGUUGUGGAGCGCUGUGGUGUAGUGUGUUUUGUUUUUUUUUGUGUGGUUGUGUGGGUGGGUGUGUGAUGAGUUGUUUGAUGAAUUGGUGUUUUUGUGGUGUUGUUGGUGCUCGGCUGCGCUGUGGCGGUGGAAACAAAAAAAGAAUGAUAUAAUGUGUGUGUGUGCUGCUUGUGUGCAUGCUUUAGCUGGUUGUGAUGGUGUGUGUGGUGCUUGUAGAUGUAUGUUGUGUG
rnacentral:rRNA from 1 species